UUCUUUACUGUUCACUUAAAGGAGCCGAAUUCGACGCUUUACAGUUCACUUAAAGGAGCCGAUUCAUUUAACUGAACUGACUCGACUCGACCGCAAACAAGCGCCCUCACCACAGACAACGCCUGCCUCGUCUCUUCACCCUACGGAUUCAUCCUCGUACAAUGAAGUAAAGGUGAAAUUACUAAAGUUAAGGUGUACCUGAUAAUAGCUGAAGUGUGAGG